CGAUACUUUGGCCCAGAGACGUCCGGCCAUCAUCAGGAGGUACAAAGAAUUAAAAAUUGAGCCUUGACUUUUGUUUGUGAGAAGAUUGUGAUCACUUCCAGACGUAAAAUAGCUACGUUUCUUUGGCCAUCUUUCUGUGGUCUUAAUAUGCUUGAAAUAAAUGAAAAGCAGGACAUUCUUAGCAAUGUGUGCUACUUACAAGAUCCUUCAAGUACUGUGUCAUCACCACCCAGAAAGAGAGAUCGUUUCAAGGAAUGGAGGAACAACAGAUCAUCCACAGCAGAUGAAAUAGAUAUCUACAUUUUAAUGCACGCCGGAGAUGAUGGUGAUAUCUUAAACUGGUGGAGCAGACAUGAAAUCUGCCAGGCCUGACUGCAGUUGCAAGAUUUAUUUUAUGUAUCGCAGCAACAAGCGCACCUAGUGAAAGAUGCUUUAGUAAAUCUGG